AACGAACGCUGGCGGCAGGCUUAACACAUGCAAGUCGAACGGAUCCUUCGGGAUUAGUGGCAGACGGGUGAGUAACGCGUGGGAACGUACCCUUUGCUACGGAAUAACUCAGGGAAACUUGAGCUAAUACCGUAUGUGCCCUACGGGGGAAAGAUUUAUCGGCAAAGGAUCGGCCCGCGUUGGAUUAGCUAGUUGGUGGGGUAAUGGCCUACCAAGGCGACGAUCCAUAGCUGGUCUGAGAGGAUGAUCAGCCACACUGGGACUGAGACACGGCCCAGACUCCUACGGGAGGCAGCAGUGGGGAAUAUUGGACAAUGGGCGCAGGCCUGAUCCAGCCAUGCCGCGUGAGUGAUGAAGGUCUUAGGAUUGUAAAGCUCUUUCACCGGUGAAGAUAAUGACGGUAGCCGGAGAAGAAGCCCCGGCUAACUUCGUG
rnacentral:rRNA from 1 species